GCCUGGGUGGCUCAGUCGGUUGAGCAUCCGACUUCAGCUCAGGUCACGAUCUCACGGUUCGUGAGUUCGAGCCCCGCGUCAGGCU
rnacentral:tRNA from 1 species